rnacentral:rRNA from 1 species
GAAGCUUCUAGCUUGCUAGGUGGAUUAGUGGCGCACGGGUGAGUAACGCAUAGAUGACAUGCCCUUUAGUUUGGGAUAGCCACUAGAAAUGGUGAUUAAUACCAAAUACCACCCUACGGGGGAAAGAUUUAUCGCUAAAGGAUUGGUCUAUGUCCUAUCAGCUUGUUGGUGGGGUAAGAGCCCACCAAGGCUAUGACGGGUAUCCGGCCUGAGAGGGUGAACGGACACACUGGAACUGAGACACGGUCCAGACUCCUACGGGAGGCAGCAGUAGGGAAUAUUGCUCAAUGGGCGCAAGCCUGAAGCAGCAACGCCGCGUGGAGGAUGAAGGUUUUAGGAUUGUAAACUCCUUUUGUGAGAGAAGAUAAUGACGGUAUCU